UACGCGCAAGGAAAUGGUGUCUUCCUACUUAACCGUCCGCCUCUGGCGAGACUGAUGGCGCCUACAAAUAC
rnacentral:ncRNA from 1 species